UAACAUUUUCACCAUCUCUCUCCCACGUCUCUCUCAUCUUCUUCUCUAAUUAAUUUUUGUUUUCUUUCAUUUUAGUCCCUUUCUAUGAUUUUCACCCCCUCAAGCUCAAAACUUCAAAUUUCUUCCAUAAAUUUUUAGUGAAAUUAAAAGAAUAACUCCAUGACAAGUUUUUUUUUUUUUUUUGUGAAGUUAGGGAUUUGAGAAAUGUUAAGGUAAGGAUGAUGAAGUUUUCUUAAGGAUUUCAUGCGUAGUUCAUAAAAAUGCAUGGAAAUAGUAUGUGAUUAUUAUUUUGAUAUUAAAUAUUGUGUAUGUGUGCUAUGUUGAUAAAGAGAAAGAAGAAAAGUGAACAUCAAGUUGGUGAUAAAGGUAAAGAAGCAACAAAAGAGUGAAGGAAGAAAAAAGGGCCAUUCCAAGCAUUUCAUAGUAAAGAUUUGAUUUGAAUCUCUAGAGCGAAGGUCAAUUCUGACUCAUCUCAUCACAAAAUGAAGUUUGGAAGAGAGUAUGAUUUUGAUGUUUGGUUUUAGCUCAUGGCAUGUACAUAGGAUAUUCUAAGCAUGUCUAUGGAAGAAUUCUAAGGGAAGCAUAUGAUAGUUUUGAUCUUCCUUGAUAAUUUUGUAAACUUGGUUAUGUUCAAUUUUGUAUUAAGUUGAAUUAAGUGAUGCUCAAUGUUGGAAAUUGGCAUAAAUGAAUGGAAUAUCGGUUGAAUUGGGUGAUAGGUACCACAUGAGCAUUGAUUUAGGAGUUGUGAAUCAAAAUGCAUAAGAUUCAAGGUGAUAGAACUCACGUCGCGACGUCGGGUUCAUGAAGUCACGACGAGCCUAUUCAGUGAGCGACGUUGCAACGUGGUACUCUUGAAGUAGCCACAAGCUUAGUCGGAGAGUGACGUCGAGACGUGGUAUCUUAGAAGUCGCGACGAGCACUCAAUUAGUUCGAAACUUUACAAUUUAGUCCAUAAACAACUUUAGAUCACCUAGGAAACUUGUGCAAGCUUGUAUAAAUCUCGGAUAAGUAUAUAAAUCAUAUUUUAAUUA